rnacentral:rRNA from 1 species
GAUCCUGGCUCAGAUUGAACGCUGGCGGCAGGCCUAACACAUGCAAGUCGAACGGUAACAGGAAGCAGCUUGCUGCUUCGCUGACGAGUGGCGGACGGGUGAGUAAUGUCUGGGAAACUGCCUGAUGGAGGGGGAUAACUACUGGAAACGGUAGCUAAUACCGCAUAACGUCGCAAGACCAAAGGAGGGGACCUUCGGGCCUCUUGCCAUCGGAUGUGCCCAGAGUGGGAUUAGCUAGUAGGGG